rnacentral:rRNA from 1 species
GAUGAACGCUGGCGGCGUGCCUAAUACAUGCAAGUCGAGCGAACGGACGAGAAGCUUGCUUCUCUGAUGUUAGCGGCGGACGGGUGAGUAACACGUGGAUAACCUACCUAUAAGACUGGGAUAACUUCGGGAAACCGUAGCUAAUACCGGAUAAUAUUUUGAACCGCAUGGUUCAAAAGUGAAAGACGGUCUUGCUGUCACUUAUAGAUGGAUCCGCGCUGCAUUAGCUAGUUGGUAAGGUAACGGCUUACCAAGGCAACGAUGCAUAGCCGACCUGAGAGGGUGAUCGGCCACACUGGAACUGAGACACGGUCCAGACUCCUACGGGAGGCAGCAGUAGGGAAUCUUCCGCAAUGGGCGAAAGCCUGACGGAGCAACGCCGCGUGAGUGAUGAAGGUCUUCGGAUCGUAAAACUCUGUUAUUAGGGAAGAACAUAUGUGUAAGUAACUGUGCACAUCUUGACGGUACCUAAUCAGAAAGCCACGGCUAACUAUGUG